rfam:Streptomyces sviceus ATCC 29083 chromosome, whole genome shotgun sequence.
CCGACAGGCCGUGACUGGCGCGCUGGGAUGGGACGGACCAUCAGGGAGCGGCCUGUGAGUGACCAAGUGCCGUGCGCCUGGGCCGAACCG